GGAGCCGUCGCCGGAGCGGAUCUCCGAUCAGCCUCCAACAAUGGCGACGUCAUCGGUGACGGGGAUGAGCGACGGCGUAGUGAAGAAGAUCAUGCUCUCCUACUUCUACGUCUCCGUCUGGAUCUCCCUCAGCUUCGCCGUCAUCGUCUUCAACAAGUACAUCCUCGACCCCAAGAUGUACAACUGGCCCUUCCCCAUCUCCCUCACCAUGAUCCACAUGGGCUUCUGCUCCGCCCUCGCCACCGCCAUCAUCCGCCUCGGCUUCGUCGACACCCCCACCUCCCCUCCCAUGUCCCGCGAACUCUAC
rnacentral:misc_RNA from 1 species